UACGUAGGGUGCAAGCGUUGUUCGGAAUCAUUGGGCGUAAAGCGUGCGCAGGCGGUUUUUGUAAGUCAGAUGUGAAAAUCCCCGGGCUUAACCCUGGGAACUGCGUUGGUGUACUGGCAGGCUUUGAGUGUGCAGAGGGAGGUGAGAAUUCCAGCGUGUAGCACGUGAAAUGCGUAGAGAAUGUGGAGGAAUACCGAUGG
rnacentral:rRNA from 1 species